UCGAGAGUGCCGGUUGCCAAGGUUUCCGGCAGGGUGACGUGUAAAUUCAGUAACCUACUGGCAGAGUAAAAGGACGCGAGGGGCAGGAUGAGUACCCGUGUUUCUGUUAGUUAAUCGAACCGGUUGCCGGAAUGUUUGCUUAAGUGCAUCCGUUCUGUCAAUUAUUAAAGUGGUUACUUUUUUG
rnacentral:sRNA from 12 species